GGGACAAAACAUGGCAGUCGAGCGAUGAACCCCUUCGGGGGUGGAUUAGCGGCGGACGGGUGACUAACACGUGGGUAACCUGCCUCAAAGUGGGGGAUAGCCUUCCGAAAGGAAGAUUAAUACCGCAUAAAGCCAAGUUUCACAUGGAAUUUGGAUGAAAGGAGUAAUUCGCUUUGAGAUGGACCCGCGGCGCAUUAGUUAGUUGGUGGGGUAAUGGCCUACCAAGACAGCGAUGCGUAGCCGACCUGAGAGGGUGAUCGGCCACAUUGGAACUGAGAUACGGUCCAGACUCCUACGGGAGGCAGCAGUGGGGAAUAUUGCACAAUGGGCGAAAGCCUGAUGCAGCAACGCCGCGUGAGUGAUGAAGGUCUUCGGAUUGUAAAGCUCUGUCUUUUGGGACGAUAAUGACGGUACCAAAGGAGGAAGCCACGGCUAACUACGUGCCAGCAGCCGCGGUAAUACGUAGGUGGCGAGCGUUGUCCGGAUUUACUGGGCGUAAAGGGUGCGUAGGCGGAUGUUUAAGUGAGAUGUGAAAUACCCGGGCUUAACUUGGGUGCUGCAUUUCAAACUGGAUAUCUAGAGUGCAGGAGAGGAGAAUGGAAUUCCUAGUGUAGCGGUGAAAUGCGUAGAGAUUAGGAAGAACACCAGUGGCGAAGGCGAUUCUCUGGACUGUAACUGACGCUGAGGCACGAAAGCGUGGGUAGCAAACAGGAUUAGAUACCCUGGUAGUCCACGCCGUAAACGAUGAGUACUAGGUGUAGGAGGUAUCGACCCCUUCUGUGCCGCAGUAAACACAUUAAGUACUCCGCCUGGGAAGUACGAUCGCAAGAUUAAAACUCAAAGGAAUUGACGGGGGCCCGCACAAGCAGCGGAGCAUGUGGUUUAAUUCGAAGCAACGCGAAGAACCUUACCUGGACUUGACA
rnacentral:rRNA from 1 species